GAUGAACGCUGGCGGCGUGCCUAAUACAUGCAAGUCGAGCGAACAGACGAGGAGCUUGCUCCUUUGACGUUAGCGGCGGACGGGUGAGUAACACGUGGAUAACCUACCUAUAUGACUGGGAUAAUUUCGGGAAACCGGAGCUAAUACCGGAUAAUAUAUUGAACCGCAUGGUUCAAUAGUGAAAGUCGGUUUUGGCGGCGCUUGUGGGUGGAUUCGCGCAGCAUUAGCUUGUUGGUGGGGUAGCGGCGUACCAAGGCAACGAGGCGUAGCCGACACGAGAGGGUGAGCGGCCGCAUUGGGCCUGAGGGGCGGCCCAGAGUGCGAAGGGAGCCAGAAGUGGGGAAUAUUGCACAAUGGACGGAAGCCUGAUGAAGAAAGGCCUCGGGUGGGAAAACGGCUUUUGGGUGGGAAAACGAAUUGGAAAGUGACGAAGCGUGAGUGACGGUAAUCGGAAAAGAAGCACCGGCUAAAUCCGUG
rnacentral:rRNA from 1 species